rnacentral:lncRNA from 1 species
ACAGUGGUGGCCACCGCGACUGGUGCUGAAGUGUUGGCGCGUGCCGGGCGCUCCGCUGGGACCCGGGUUGCUGGCCCUGAGUCUCAGCUUUCUCAUCUGUACGGUUGGGACAAGUACAGUAACCCUCGCCCGUCAAGACGGGCCAGGGCUGUGGCGAGGGUCCACGCCUUAGAGCAGGCAGGAGUAGGGCUGAUUGGAGCCAUUGUACAGUGUCGGGAACAUACCAGGACACUGAGAAUAGUGUCAUGUCAUAAGGACCCAGAGCAGAUGGACCCUGCUGUGAUGCACAAAGGGAUGAAAUGGGAUUUUGUUGGCACCAAGACCUGAUUGCUUUGCCAGUUACCCUCACCCCUGGCUCACAAGGAAAGUGUAUGGAGGAGAUUCUCGAGGAACCACAUGAGUUUUAAUAUCAUAAGCUUCUGCCCUGAAUUGAAAGAUAGCAGCAUUUUAAUCAUCUCUUCCAUUAAACCAAGAUUACACAAAAGCGUUUGAGGACACUGAGGACUGGGACUUCUAAUUUUGCUUCAGAAACCAGUACUCAAAAUGUCUGGUUUGGAGGAGCUGGGCUGCUUGGAUCAGAGGUUCCAUGGUCUGAACUACUCCACUCUGGUGAAGGUUUCUUCCCCAAAGCCACUCCUCAAGCUGACUUAUAUUGUACCUGAGUUGCAUGCCUGUGCUCCAAGAGCAGACGUCCUUCCGCAGGAGCAGGUCAUUAAGAGUCACUGCGUUGAUCAUGUAGAAGAGCUGUUUGAAUACCUGCAGGAUGAUCUCAGGGUCCAAGCCCUGGUCACACAUGACUGUAUGAAAGGCAUUCAUCUGGCGGAUGAUAGCUUCCAGGCGGUAUGAGUUAUCCCCAUCUGCCAUGCUGGAGGAGUGCUUCUGGGAGCCAGUGGGCUUCACACCAGAUAGACCCUGAAUGCUGUCAUUUUCCAACAUGGCAGAAACUAUCAUCGGCUGUAACACACCCUCGGCAAUUUUAAAGAGCUGCUGGUAGAUCUGAAUGGAAAGGUCGCUCAGUACCUGACGGUAUUCGGUGAGGUCAAAGUUCUUAAGGCAGUGUUCGUUGUGCUUUGCUGUAUUCUGAGUCAUGAAGCCCUCAUCCCCGCUGUACCGCUUCAGACAGUGAAGAAGGUGGCAGGUGUUGGAUAACAGGAAUGACGUCAUCUCAAAGUCAUCACUGUGCUUCUUCAGGACUUUCUUAAUGCCGUUGGUGGUGGAGGUCAUCAGGGAGUGCACCUUGAGAUCAUCGUUGGUUUGGUCCGCGAGCCGAAUGCACAUGUAGAGGAUGUAGGCGGAGAGACAGGGCACUGUGUCCAACAGCAUCUGGGGCUUCAAGUCUGUCACCAGGUUGAGGAUGAGGAGGGCCUCGCCCUCUUUGCGGCACUCCAACAUGCCCUGGAAAUCCUUUUCUUUCCACUGAACUGGGACCUGCCUGUUGAACUCAUGGCGCUUCCUCUCACUCUGGGCCAACGCCUGGGCAGCUUCUUCAUGUAAAUCUUCAGUUGCUUUUAGAGCUUCCUCUCAUUCUUUUCCUCUUACUUUAUUUUUCACCACAGAGCUUCCUAUCAACUAGUAUGUUGAAUAUUUUGCUUAUUAACUUUGUUUAUUGUCUUCUCCCUCGAUUAGAAUAUUAGCUACUUGAGUACAAGGAUUUGAGCCUGUUACAUUCACUGCUGAAUUUUAGGCUCCUGGAAGAUACCCAGCAUUCAAUAGAGACCACACAAUAAAUAUAUGUCAAAUAAA